AAAUGAAUAGACGGGGGCCCGCACAAGCGGAGGAACAUGUGGUUUAAUUCGAUGAUACGCGAGGAACCUUACCCGGGCUCGAACGGUAUGUGGCGGUUGCCAGAGAUGGCUUCCUUCCUUCGGGACACAUAUCGAGGUGCUGCAUGGUUGUCGUCAGCUCGUGCCGUGAGGUGUCGGCUUAAGUGCCAUAACGAGCGCAACCCUUGUCGUCAGUUGCCAUCAGGUAAUGCUGGGGACUCUGGCGAGACUGCCACCGCAAGGUGUGAGGAAGGAGGGGAUGACGUCAAAUCAGCACGGCCCUUACGUCCGGGGCGACACACGUGUUACAAUGGUGAGGACAGAGGGUAGCUCCAUAGUGAUAUGUUGCCAAUCUCAAAACCUCAUCUCAGUUCGGAUUGGAGUCUGCAACUCGACUCCAUGAAGUUGGAUUCGCUAGUAAUCGCGCAUCAGCCAUGGCGCGGUGAAUACGUUCCCGGGCCUUGUACACACCGCCCGU
rnacentral:rRNA from 1 species